UACAGAGGGUGCGAGCGUUGUUCGGAAUUACUGGGCGUAAAGCGCGCGCAGGCGGCCUUUUAAGUCUACCCGUGAAAUGCCGGAGCUCAACUCCGUGCACGCCGGGGGAUACUGGAGGGCUGGAGACAGGUAGAGGCAGGCGGAAUUCCGGGUGUAGCGGUGGAAUGCGUAGAGAUCCGGAAGAACACCAGAGGCGAAGGCGGCCUGCUGGGCCUUGUCUGACGCUGAGGCGCGAAAGCGUGGGGAGCGAACAGG
rnacentral:rRNA from 2 species